CUAGGACAACGAGAAUCAUAUUGACUCGCUGACGCCAUUUAUGACGCAACGGCGACUGCCGAAGGACUAAGAAAUUGUUGUUUUUUCUUAAUACAAAUAAAAUACAAAUGUUUUGAAUUUUUUAAAUAAAUAAUAAAACAAUUAUUGAAUUCGGUUUCGCACAAUAUGAAGUAUUAUCAAGCCCGAAGUUUGCCGUUAUUUUCAUUCAAUACUUGUUGAUGAUUAUUACACUUAUAUUUUUGGAAAGGUUGCAGAAUCCAAUUGCAUGAAAUGCACCGUUCUUUUGAUGUUUUCUCACAACAUAUAUUCAUCGGCUACGUUUUCGGCAAAUAUCAAAUGUGAUUGAAUACAAGUCAUUUAUAGUCAUUUCGAAAUUGAAAAUACAGUAAUCGUGUUUCCCUGUGACCACGUGAUAUGGAUCGUCUGGCAUGCAACCAAGAUUAAUACGAAUAUUGCCAACGCCAUCUAGACAUAUGCAAUGCCAAGCUUUCGUUGGUGGGGAUGCAAACUACCUGAAAAAUAUAAGACGAAGGGCCGAAAUUCUGCUUAUAUUUCAUAUAUGAAGAUUAUUACUUUCAUAAUGAACUUUUUUGUAACCAACGAAAUGAUAAAAUGAAUAAAAAGUAAUUAAUAAACUAUCAUCUUAUCGUUAAUGCUUCAUCACUAAAUAGAAUGCCAUGUAAACGAAUAUUGAAAAUGUUCAUUAUUUGAUCGACAAUCUUUCCAUUUACAAAUCGUAUGCAAUUCUCGCUGGAAUGAAGAAUUCUGGCAAAUUGUCCUUGCGCUGGUGGACGCUUCCACCGCAAAUGAAUAUAUAAUAUUUUAUUUAUUAUCAUAGUGUGAAUAUAUAAUAUAUAUAUAUAUAUAUUACUACUUGUAUAUCAGUAAUGAUUGUGUAAAAUUCAAGUGGGUUCUAUGGCAUUUUACACUUUUACGUUUGCAGACUAAAAAGAGUUCCUGUCGACCGACUGUCUGGUUGGUGUAGUUCAGGAUCAUUUUAUUGCCAGCCGGAUACAAAGAUUUAACUAAUAUUUUAAUUGUGAACGGACGGCAACCGAAAUUAAUGCGAAUAUCGGCAUGAUUUUCAACAGACAAUACCGAAAGCGAGCCGAACUUUU
rnacentral:lncRNA from 1 species